rnacentral:rRNA from 1 species
UACGUAGGUGGCAAGCGUUGUCCGGAUUUACUGGGCGUAAAGAGCGCGCAGGCGGUCGAGUAAGUCGAAUGUGAAAGCCCCCGGCUUAACUGGGGAGGGUCAUUCGAUACUGUUCGACUUGAAGGCAGGAGAGGGCAGCAGAAUUCCCGGUGUAGAGGUGAAAUUCGUAGAUAUCGGGAGGAACACCAGUGGCGAAGGCGGCGAUCUGGGAAGAUACUGACGCUGAGGUGCGAAAGCGUGGGGAGCAAACAGG